UGAGCAACAAUAGCCAGAGACUGCUGCUCGAGGUGCCGCUCUUCACCCAUGGCUACAAGUACAAGUGUGUUUGACUGAUGGCAGAAUAACUGUAGUGGCUGACUUGUCUCUGGCCAUCUCAAGUGGGAGGAGUUCUUGCUAGAAUCAACCUGGUAGACAGAAACUGUGUACCCAAAGACAGACAGCACCAGGGCUCUCUUCUCUUUUCCAAUCAACAGCUGUGGAUCCACAUUAAAGGUUCACUGAGUCCCUUCAAACUCACUACAGUGCUUCAAACCCAAUGCCCACUACCAUACCCACCCAAGACCUCUU